rnacentral:rRNA from 1 species
UACGUAGGGGGCAAGCGUUGUCCGGAAUCAUUGGGCGUAAAGAGCGUGUAGGCGGCCAGAUAAGUCCGCUGUGAAAACUCGAGGCUCAACCUCGAGCUGUCGAUCGAAACCAUCUGGCUAGAGUCCGGAAGAGGAGAGUGGAAUUCCCGGUGUAGCGGUGAAAUGCGCAGAUAUCGGGAAGAACACCCGUGGCGAAGGCGGCUACUCGUGGGACGGUACUGACGCUGAGACGCGAAAGCGUGGGGAGCGAACAGG